rnacentral:tRNA from 2 species
GGCAUCAUCGCAUAGCGGCAAUUGCAAAAGACUGUAAAUCUUUCGCCUUCGGGCUUCGUUGGUUCGAGUCCAACCGGUGCCA